ACAUAAAACGCUCUCCGAGCCGGACAGCCUACAGCCGAAGGGCCAGGGCCGCCGGCCGCAAGGGUUUACCGGGAAACCGGCACUCCUUCCGUUUAAGAAAAGGAGAGCGGUACGGCUGUUG
rnacentral:ncRNA from 1 species